rnacentral:rRNA from 1 species
GACGAACGCUGGCGGCGUGCUUAACACAUGCAAGUCGAACGGAAAGGCCCUGCUUUUGUGGGGUGCUCGAGUGGCGAACGGGUGAGUAACACGUGAGUAACCUGCCCUUGACUUUGGGAUAACUUCAGGAAACUGGGGCUAAUACCGGAUAGGAGCUCCUGCUGCAUGGUGGGGGUUGGAAAGUUUCGGCGGUUGGGGAUGGACUCGCGGCUUAUCAGCUUGUUGGUGGGGUAGUGGCUUACCAAGGCUUUGACGGGUAGCCGGCCUGAGAGGGUGACCGGCCACAUUGGGCCUGCGAUAGGGCCCAGACUCCUACGGGAGGCAGCAGUGGGGAGUAUUGCACAGUGGGCGGAAGCCUGAUGCAGCGACGCCGCGUGCGGGAUGACGGCCUUCGGGUUGUAAACCGCUUUCGCCUGUGACGAAGCGUGAGUGACGGUAAUGGGUAAAGAAGCACCGGCUAACUACGUG